AUUUCUUACAGACAGAGCUGACAAAAUUCAAAAGUAGUUUGGUUACAAGAGACUCAUUAAUUUCAAAUGGGCAUUUGAUUCCCAAAGGGAAGACAAACUUCAUCAGUUGGAGCAUUGUGAUGUCACAGAGGAACUUCAUUAGUGCACCACUUAGAAGGGAGCCAUGAGAGUAAGUAAAAUGAAAUGUAAAUAAAUGCCUAAUUAGGUGUCCAUGAAAAACUGAAGAGUAUCUAAAGUUGUUAGAGAUGACUGUACUUGGAAGGCAGCUUCUUAGACUAAGAAUCAGUGCUUUCAUAACCUUCAUGGAGGAGGCUGGAAGAUUCUGCGGAGGUCUCCAGAAGACUGGUUAACUUGGAUGAAGCCAUUGAAGACAAUCAGGAAGAUACAAUAGGGGAAAAUAUUCCGCGAGGACGCUUUGAUUUUUCUUUACAACACACCACUAAAUUACAAACAGAAGCAAAAAUUACCAGCACACAUGCUGAUUAAAGUAGAAAAAGGUUUGCCAACUCUGGUCUAAAUCCCAAACACACUGUCUGUCAAGGACCUCUUACUACCUAUCCAGAUACUGUCUAAAACUUAUUGGAUGAUGCCGCUAGAAGGUCUCUUGCAGCCCAAGCAAGGGUAUUUCAAUGCAAGAAAAUAGGAGAGCAUCUGCCAAGUUCAUCUUGAGGGAUGGAGAACAACAAAGGAGGUAAAAAAAUGUCUGCUGCCAUACCACCCUGACUGACCUGAUCUCAGAAGCUAUGUAGGGUUGGGCCUGGUUAGUACUUGUAUGGGAGGUGAGGUAAAAAAUGCACCAAAUAAUGACACCUGCUUAGGACAGAGGAGGGGAAGGAAACAAGGUUAUUGGUUCCCAAUGGCACAUGGUGUGACCAUUCACUUACAUAAAAUGUUAAGUUGAAUUCCUGAACACAGUAUCACACAUCAUUCACAACACCUAGUAGGGUCAGAAAAAAAUUUUUUUUGAGAGAGAGAGCAUGAGUGGGGAAGGGCAGAGAGAGAGGGGGACAGAGGAUGCAAAGCAGGAUACGUGCCAACAGCAGUGAGCCCGACAUGGGGCUUGAACUCACUGUGAGAUCAUGACCUAAGCCAAAGUUGAGCACUCAACCAACUGAGCCAGCAAGGCACUCCAGAAAACUUUUUUGGUAUUAAUAAGUUUAGAAGUAAAUCCUGCAUGACAAUUUAAGUUUAUAAAACUAUUCUAAAGCAAAAAAAAAAAAAAAAAAAAAAAUGGAGGGCAUGGAGUAAAGAAUGACCUAUUCAAAUUCUUAAAAUGGAAACUAAAAAACUUUCAAUCAGUUUGUAAAUAUCAGAAGCUAGUCUGCUAGUCUGCCUUUCACUAUACAUAAGCAGUAUGGACUGCCAGAUUCACAGCAGCCCUAAGGUGUAUUCCCUGCUUCAUUAUACCCGUACUAGAUUUAUACCAUCCUCGGAAAAUAGUUAUCUACUAUUUUCUCAAAAAUCUCUGAAGACUAUACAAUCACUGGUGUUCAGAAAAUAAUUUCUCAUAGCCUUUAUACUUAAGCUAUGUUUCUAAUAUAACAACAUUAAGAAUAAUUUCAAUCAGAGACAUGGGACAGUAAAUCCAUGACUUCCUUUUAUUUCAUCACUGACUUAUUGUGUAGCUUAGAUGUAUAUGAAUCUUAUCUAGGCUCUGGGUUUCUUAAUUUAUGAAUCUAAGCUAAUAUAGAAUGUUUUAAGAAUUGGACUUAGAAAUUGUAUUGGGGUGCCUAGGUGGCUCAGUCAGCUAAGUGUCCAACUCUUGAUUUCGGCUCAGGUCAUGAUCUCACCUGAGAGGAGUUUGAGCCCUGCGUUGGGCUCUGAGCUGACAGCAUGGAGCCUGUUUGGGAUUCUCUCCUUCUUUCUCUCUUCCUCUCCC